AGCGAACGCUGGCGGCAGGCUUAACACAUGCAAGUCGAGCGCCCGUAGCAAUACGGGAGCGGCAGACGGGUGAGUAACACGUGGGAACGUGCCUUUUGGUUCGGAACAACUGAGGGAAACUUCAGCUAAUACCGGAUAAGCCCUUACGGGGAAGAUUUAUCGCCAAAGAUCGGCCCGCGUCUGAUUAGCUAGUUGGUGGGGUAAUGGCCCACCAAGGCUACGAUCAGUAGCUGGUCUGAGAGGAUGAUCAGCCACACUGGGACUGAGAUACGGCCCAGACUCCUACGGGAGGCAGCAGUGGGGAAGUCUUGCGCAAUGGGCGAAGCCCGACGCAGCGACGCCGCGUGAGGGAUGACGGCC
rnacentral:rRNA from 1 species